rnacentral:rRNA from 1 species
UGGGGAAUAUUGCACAAUGGAGGGAACUCUGAUGCAGCGACGCCGCGUGAGUGAUGAAGGAAUUCGUUUCGUAAAACUCUGUUCUAUGGGAAGAAGAGGACUGUACCAUAGGAGAAAGCUCCGGCUAAAUACGUGCCAGCAGCCGCGGUAAUACGUAUGGAGCGAGCGUUGUCCGGAAUUAUUGGGCGUAAAGGGUGCGCAGGCGGCUUUACAAGUUGGAUGUGAAAUAUUGUGGCUCAACCACAAACGUGCAUCCAAAACUGCAAAGCUUGAGUUAAGGAGAGGUAAGUGGAAUUCCUGGUGUAGCGGUGGAAUGCGUAGAUAUCAGGAGGAAUACCGGUGGCGAAGGCGACUUACUGGACUUAAACUGACGCUCAGGCACGAAAGCGUGGGGAGCAAACAGG